CUUUAAUCAGCACAAUGCUAAUCCGCUACUCACUCGCAUCCAGCCACAGGAAAGCGCAGCAGCCGUGGGCAUUCAGCUGCAUUCUCAGCCAAAUGCAGCAGCGGAACACUGGCUGGCAGAGGCACGGCCGCUGUUCAUUGGCUGGAGAGGAGAUUCAAAAGGGCACAGCUUCUACCCAAUUAGCCACUUUUUGUUCCCUCAGGGCAGCGAUGGUGGACGCAUGUGCUCUCUGACCGUGAUGAUGGAGUAGCAUGUAAAGCGUUUUUGUAGCCAAGGAUUUCCGCUCAGGAACUGGGACACAGGGACACAGUGUGCAAGGACAGCAGGUCCAAGACGUGUCGAACAGAAAUGGAGGAACGAGGUCUUGAGACGUUUUUUGUGCUUUCUGCAGAGGAGCAAGUAAUUCUACUUCAUUAGGAAGGGGACACGAAAGCCCUGGUCAUUUUGACAUGAUUUUAACUCCCCUGAAACCAUCCAUAGUUCCAGCCUGAACCCUGGCUGCUUGUGCAGUGUUGCUGUGACUCCUGAACCUCCACUUUAAGUUUGAAAGUGUAAUAUAAGCUGAAGCUGAAGCUGAAGCUUAAUCUCUCCUCCAAACUCUAAACAUAAAGUCAUGAAUCAGAGGCCAAUGAGGCAAAGAAGAUGAUGAGUGGUGGAUCAAAGGUUGUGGAUGACAGCAUGUCCUGCCAGAAAUGAGGCAGUGGUGCCUUCUUCACUGCAGCCACCUCCUCCUCCCUCUCACUAGGAUGAGGCAUGGUCAUGUGACGCAUACCCUUGCUGCCCAUGCAAGCAGGCGGUUGCUAAUAGUGACAAACUACCGUGGCCGUGCUGAGGGAGCCAGAGCGCGAGAGACACACCGAUGACUGGGAGCCGUGAGACUGUGGGAGACACACACACAUACACAUACACACACACACAUCUGAGUGGGUUGAGCUUUUGUCUGUAAAUAAAUUUCAGCUCUAUUUAA